GAGUUUUGGGCUAGAUUAGGCUUUUAAAGAUGUUCCAAUACGGCCCAAAAUUUCUAGACUCCGUUAAGCCUCCGUCACUGAACAAGAAACGGAAAACCUCGUUAAAUCUUUUAUAACUUCGCUACGAUUGAACAGAGAAUAUUUCAUUUUUUUUUUUUUAGUUGCCUCUUCUGCAACGCGAUCCCGCCAAAGAAACUCUUAUCCCUCACGAAAAUUCUCAAAUCGUCGUUCUCUCUCGCUUCACCGGUUUCGUUAGCCGGGAAAUUGCAAUUUAAGAUCAGAAUCGUUGAGCCAUUUUGUCUAAGGAAGAGACAUUGGAGUAACAAGUAACGAGGGCAGCUAGGAGGUUGAGAUUUUACGAUGCUUUGUGUUUCUUUACGAAAUAGAAUUCACAAUUGGCUUCGCGACUACGUUAGGCUCCAAUCUGUCGUCGUGAUUCUUAUCUACGCUCAGAUAGGGUGCGCGUUGAUCGGUUCACUAGGGGCAUUGUACAAUGGAGUCUUGCUGAUAAAUUUGGCGAUUGCGUUAUUUGGGUUAGUGGCAAUCGAGAGUAAUAGCCAGAGUCUAGGCAGAACCUAUGCGGUUCUUCUUUUCUGCGCCAUUCUUCUUGAUGUCUCAUGGUUCAUACUCUUCUCCAACGAGAUUUGGAACAUUUCUUCUGAGAUGUAUCAAGUCUUUUACAUCUUCUCUGUGAAACUCACCCUGGCUAUGGAAAUUGCUGGGUUCGUUGUGAGGCUAUCGUCCUCUCUGUUAUGGUUUCAGAUCUAUAGGCUGGGAGCUUCUAUUAUAGACUCUUCGUUUCCCCGUCAACCUGAUUCAGAUUUACGAAAUAGCUUCUUAGAACCUCCUCUUUUAGCUAGGCAACGUUCACGUGAUCCAGAAUUACGGAAUAGCUUCUUACAGCCUCCUGCUAUAGCUAAGCAACGUUCGCGUUCUGAUGAAAUCUUGGAAGAUUCUAUUGACCAACCGGCCUCCUACACUCCUCUGUUUGAUGGCGGCCAAAGCAAUAUCACUUCGCCCAAUGCAAAACAGGUGAUUAAGCAUCAUUCAGCUGGAGACAUUUACAAAGGAUCCCCAUUGUCUGCUGCAGAAGCCUCUCGGAAUAAGUCUCCUCUAUCCAGAUCCUUGGAAGCACUUGAUUCUAGUCUCUGUUGAUAACUUGAUAUACAAAAUCUAAUGAUUGGGGCCGGUACUAUACUAUACCUUGUUUCUGGUGGAGUUUACUUGCACACAUCACCUUUUUAGGACAUAGAAAAGAACAGUUAUUGCUCUUGAUAGUGAAUCCUUGCACUCAGUGAAUUGCAUGUGUUGGAAGAUAGCUUUUGACUCGAGCAACUUCAUUCAACAAUUCUAAGGCGAUUCUUUGUUUUCAAUUUGAAGAUCCAGAUCCUAGAUUUACAUAGUGGGUGACAAGAAAGAACCAUGCCUCUCAUUUUACUCGAAACUGUAUAGAGAUUGGGACUAGGAAUGUACAUUAGCAUUCUUUUCUGUACAUGAAAAAUAGGUGAAUUGGAGGGUUAGUAUGAAGAUAUAUUUUUCAUCCAAAUGUUUGGUAAAAAAGUGAAGAUUUUACAAUUGAGAUAUAAAGUGCCAACAUGAUUUGCCUA